rnacentral:rRNA from 1 species
AUGAGGACCUUAUGCUGGAACUGCCGUGGGAUUGGCGACCCCGCGACAGUUAACGAGCUCUGUGCUCUCGUGGUGGACAGUGCGCCGUCGGUCCUUUGUAUCGUGGAUACACAAAUUGCAAGGAAUCGAGUGGAGGGUUUGGCGGUGUCUUUAGGUUUCCAUAGUAGUUUUGCAGUAGCUAGUAGUGGUAGGAGUGGAGGUCUUUGUAUUUUUUGGAAGUCAGAGGUU